UACGUGGGGUGCGAGCGUUAAUCGGAAUUACUGGGCGUAAAGCGUGCGCAGGCGGCUUUGCAAGACAGAUGUGAAAUCCCCGGGCUCAACCUGGGAACUGCAUUUGUGACUGCAAGGCUAGAGUACGGCAGAGGGGGAUGGAAUUCCGCGUGUAGCAGUGAAAUGCGUAGAUAUGCGGAGGAACACCAAUGGCGAAGGCAAUCCCCUGGGCCUGUACUGACGCUCAUGCACGAAAGCGUGGGGAGCAAACAGG
rnacentral:rRNA from 1 species